CGGCGGGUGGGCCAGUGGUUAAGCCGCCAGUUUUGGGAACUGGAUCGCGGGGGUUCAAAUCCCCCCUCGCCGA
rnacentral:tRNA from 1 species